rnacentral:rRNA from 1 species
AGCGGCGGACGGGUGAGUAACGCGUGGGAACGUGCCCUUCACUACGGAAUAGCCCAUGGAAACGUGGAUUAAUACCGUAUACGCCCUUCGGGGGAAAGAAUUUCGGUGAAGGAUCGGCCCGCGUCUGAUUAGGUAGUUGGUGGGGUAAUGGCCUACCAAGCCGACGAUCAGUAGCUGGUUUUAGAGGAUGAUCAGCCACACUGGGACUGAGACACGGCCCAGACUCCUACGGGAGGCAGCAGUGGGGAAUCUUAGACAAUGGGGGCAACCCUGAUCUAGCCAUGCCGCGUGAGUGAUGAAGGUCUUAGGAUCGUAAAGCUCUUUCGCCUGUGAUGAUAAUGACAGUAGCAGGUAAAGAAACCCCGGCUAACUCCGUGCCAGCAGCCGCGGUAAUACGGAGGGGGUUAGCGUUGUUCGGAAUUACUGGGCGUAAAGCGCGCGUAGGCGGACUGGAAAGUUGGGGGUGAAAUCCCGGGGCUCAACCCCGGAACUGCCUUCAAAACUAUCAGUCUAGAGUUCGAGAGAGGUGAGUGGAAUUGCGAGUGUAGAGGUGAAAUUC